GAGGUUUUAGGUUUUUGAUAAAAUAUAAUUUAACUUAAUGUAUUUUUAAUUGAUUUUUUUAUUUGUUUAAUUGAAAUAAUUUGUGUUGAGCCAUUUUUAUUGACUUGUGGAGUUUGACUAUUGUGUUUGGGCCUUGGUCAAGGUUGAUUUGACUUUUGUUGAAUUAAAAUCAUUGGAUUUAGGGGAUUGAUGAAAUGUACAUUUCAUCUUCCAAAAUGAAUGAAUGAUUUUAAUUUGAUGAAAUUCCUCCCAUGACCAAUUUGUGUUUGUCUCCUUUCCCCUCCCUCUUCAUCUUCAAUCCCUUUCUAUCUCACUCCUCUCAUUGGCCAAUGACAUCUCAAUAUCCU
rnacentral:lncRNA from 1 species